CGCGUUUUUCGCCCAGGCGGAGCUCGACCGCCGACUCAAGAGCUGAGGAACUUCGUCGACGAACAUCGGCAGGCCUUCGGGGUCGAGCCGAUCUGCAAAGUUCUGCAGAUCGCCCCA
rfam:Thiomonas intermedia K12 plasmid pTINT01, complete sequence.